CUCAGCUCUGCACAAAUGAGUUGUGAAUGUUGCUGCAACAAAUAUGACUUGGCACUAGCAUCUUCGAUCCUAUGAGCUGUCAGCCAUACAGGGAAGCCUGUCUAUCCACCUGCAAUCUGACUUCAAUGAUACAAUCCCACUCUCUGCAUACAAGAUUGAUGGCUUGCUGCUGUUGACUCCCAAGAGGUUCAU